rnacentral:rRNA from 1 species
UAUGUAGGGGGCAAGCGUUGUCCGGAUUUAUUGGGCGUAAAGAGCUCGUAGGCGGCUUGUCGCGUCGACUGUGAAAUCCCGCGGCUCAACCGCGGGUCUGCAGUCGAUACGGGCAGGCUAGAGUUCGGUAGGGGAGACUGGAAUUCCUGGUGUAGCGGUGAAAUGCGCAGAUAUCAGGAGGAACACCGAUGGCGAAGGCAGGUCUCUGGGCCGCAACUGACGCUGAGGAGCGAAAGCAUGGGGAGCGAACAGG